UUUCAACAAUGGAUCUCUUGGUUCUGGCAUCGAUGAAGAACGCAGCGAAAUGCGAUAAGUAGUGUGAAUUGCAGAAUUCAGUGAAUCAUCGAAUCUUUGAACGCACAUUGCGCCCCUUGGUAUUCCAUGGGGCAUGCCUGUUCGAGCGUCAUCUAAACCCUCAAGCCCCAUGGCUUGGUGUUGGGUGUCUGUCCCUGCUCCCCGCGCGGACUCGCCCCAAAUGCAUUGGCAGCGGCCUCCAUGCUUCUCGCGCAGCACAUUGCGCAGCGGAGCACGGCUAGGCGCGCGUCCAGCAAGCAACCCCCCAAGUUUGACCUCGGAUCAGGU
rnacentral:rRNA from 1 species